rnacentral:rRNA from 1 species
AACGAACGCUGGCGGCAGGCCUAACACAUGCAAGUCGAGCGCACUCUUCGGAGUGAGCGGCGGACGGGUUAGUAACGCGUGGGAACAUACCCUUUUCUACGGAAUAGCCUCGGGAAACUGAGAGUAAUACCGUAUACGCCCUUUUGGGGAAAGAUUUAUCGGUGAAGGAUUGGCCCGCGUUUGAUUAGAUAGUUGGUGGGGUAAUGGCCUACCAAGUCUACGAUCAAUAGCUGGUUUGAGAGGAUGAUCAGCAACACUGGGACUGAGACACGGCCCAGACUCCUACGGGAGGCAGCAGUGGGGAAUCUUAGACAAUGGGCGCAAGCCUGAUCUAGCCAUGCCGCGUGAGUGACGAAGGCCUUAGGGUCGUAAAGCUCUUUCGCCAGGGAUGAUAAUGACAGUACCUGGUAAAGAAACCCCGGCUAACUCCGUGCCAGCAGCCGCGGUAAUACGGAGGGGGUUAGCGUUGUUCGGAAUUACUGGGCGUAAAGCGUACGUAGGCGGAUUGGAAAGUAUGGGGUGAAAUCCCAGGGCUCAACCCUGGAACUGCCCUGUAAACUAUCAGUCUAGAGUUCGAGAGAGGUGAGUGGAAUUCCAAGUGUAGAGGUGAAAUUCGUAGAUAUUUGGAGGAACACCAGUGGCGAAGGCGGCUCACUGGCUCGAUACUGACGCUGAGGUACGAAAGUGUGGGGAGCAAACAGGAUUAGAUACCCUGGUAGUCCACACCGUAAACGAUGAAUGCCAGACGUCGGGGGGCUUGCCCUUCGGUGUCACACCUAACGGAUUAAGCAUUCCGCCUGGGGAGUACGGUCGCAAGAUUA